CUUACAUGAUUUGAGUUCAUUCCGUCCUAGAUAAUUUCUAAGGUGUAACCUGCCCAAUGAUAUUUAAUUAAAAAUAAAUAAAAUUUAUUAAAAAAAAUUAAAAGGACGCGGUAACCUUGACUGUGAUAAUGUAGCAUAAUCACUCGCCAUUUAAUUGAUGGAUAGUAUGAAUGGUUAAACGAAUAUUACACUGUCUUAAAAAAAAUCUCAAAAAUUUAAAAUAACAGUCAAGAUGCUGUUUAAAAUUGUAAGACGAAAAGACCCUAUAGAGCUUAACUAUAAUCUUUUUAAAAUAAAAGAAAGAUUGGUAGUUUAGUUGGGGCGACUACCUUUUAAAAACAACAAAGGUAAACAAAAAUCUAAAAAGUUUAUAUACUGUAUAAUUAAUAAAUUUAACAGUUACUAUAGUAGGUAUAAUGACCCGUUAUAAAAUAGUAAAAUUUCAUAACGAUUAAUAAAUAAAAGCUACCUUAGGGAUAACAGGAUAAUUUCAUUCAAGAGAUCUAAUCGAAAAUGAAGUUUGUCACCUCGAUGUUGAAUUAAGAUAUCCUAGCAAUGCAGAAGUUGCUAAAGGUAGGUCUGUUCGACCUUUAAAAUCUUACAUGAUUUGAGUUCAUUCCGU
rnacentral:rRNA from 1 species